AUUGAACGCUGGCGGCAGGCCUAACACAUGCAAGUCGAGCGAGCGGCGGACGGGUGAGUAAUGUCUGGGAAACUGCCUGACGGAGGGGGAUAACUACUGGAAACGGUAGCUAAUACCGCAUACCAUCAGAUGUGCCCCGAUGGGAUUAGCUAGUAGGUGGGGUAACGGGUCACCAAGGCGCCGAUCCCUAGCUGGUCUGAGAGGAUGACCAGCCACACUGGAACUGAGACACGGUCCAGACUCCUACGGGAGGCAGCAGUGGGGAAUAUUGCACAAUGGGCGCAAGCCGGAUGCAGCCAUGCCGCGUGUGUGAAGAAGGCCUUCGGGUUGUAAAGCACUUUCAGCGAGGAGGCGUUACUCGCAGAAGAAGCACCGGCUAACUCCGUGCCAGCCGCCGCGGUAAUUC
rnacentral:rRNA from 1 species